GUGAGUGUAGCUCAGUUGGUUAGAGCGCUGGUUUGUGGCACCAGAGGUCGGGGGUUCAAAUCCCCUCAUUCACCCCA
rnacentral:tRNA from 1 species